UACAGAGGUCUCAAGCGUUGUUCGGAUUCAUUGGGCGUAAAGGGUGCGUAGGCGGCGCGGUAAGUCGGGUGUGAAAUCUCGGAGCUUAACUCCGAAACUGCAUUCGAUACUGCCGUGCUUGAGGACUGGAGAGGAGACUGGAAUUUACGGUGUAGCGGUGAAAUGCGUAGAUAUUCGGAAGAACACCAGUGGCGAAGGCGACUUACUGGACACAUAUUGACGCUGAGGUGCGAAAGCGUGGGGAGCAAACAGG
rnacentral:rRNA from 1 species